rnacentral:rRNA from 1 species
GACGGAGGGAGCAAGCGUUGUUCGGAUUUACUGGGCGUAAAGGGCGUCUAGGCGGAUUGGUAAGUCAGGUGUGAAAUCCCCCGGCUCAACCGGGGACCUGCACUUGAUACUGUCAGUCUUGAGUACGGAAGAGGAAAGCGGAAUUCCUGGUGUAGCGGUGAAAUGCGUAGAUAUCAGGAAGAACACCGGUGGCGAAGGCGGCUUUCUGGUCCGUUACUGACGCUGAAGCGCGAAAGUGUGGGGAGCAAACAGG